GGGUUAAGGCGCAGGGAGCCACUGUGGCACAAGUUUGGUCCCCAGCCAGGGAGGUGGCCCACAUGGCACGGAUGACCUCUCCUGUCUCGCCUGCUGCUCCAGUGUGUUUCAGUAGAUCUGCCUGUUCUGCUCCCCACUCUGGUGAAUCCUCUCACCCCCUGCACCUCUGGCCUGUACCCCAGUUCUUGUAUGCAUAAAUAAAUCUUUAAAAGAAAAUGAGGGUUUCACAGUGGAUACGUAUUUGGAAACGAUAUAGGAAGGGUAUUUCCAGGUUCAGGGAAAGGCCCAGAGGCUUAAAAAUGCAUGCAUAGACAAGGUAUGAGAGAUGGGUGUGGGUAUAUGAAGAGAGAAUAUAGUGGGCAAUAAGACUGAAAAGGUGAAAACCAUAACUGAAGCAUUUUGGAGGAGUUAUGUUCAUUUUAAAAGCGGUAGGAGCUUGUCAGGGGAAUAAUACAACCAUACCUUUGUAUAGGCGGUUAAGAGUAAGUCUGGUUAGCCUAGAGUUAUAGAGAUUGGUGUCUGGAGAGUCAAAGAUAAUCAUUUGAGAGAUUUGAGUCCUUUUUGUACAGUGGGAUGGAAAAAGUGCCCUUUUGUUUUAAUUCAAGGUGGUAGCAGGACAUUCCUUGCUUUACUUCCAAGAGAACAAUUAUCCAGAAGUGGGACAUUAGUGAGAAUUCCACAGCAAAUUGGUGAGGCUGAAGCAUCUCCUGCACCACAGAGAACAACACAGACUGCAUUAGGAGGAAAGUUGAGACUGACAUAGCAGUGUGAUAGAAGAUGAUGUAAGUUGGCAAUUAGCUGUGUAUGCUUCUGACAGUUACUCUAUGAGGGCAUCCUGUGCGCCUAUCUUCUACUGAUAUUUCGCUCUAGAAUCUCUUGGAUGGAAGAACAUCUUACUCCUAGUUAACAGUGCCUGGGAAGUAGGCAUUCAGCCAAGGAAUGUGGAUAUACGGACUCCAUUCUGAAGCCCUGUUCAGAAUGAAAUCGUUCUGAAGUGUGAAAUGAAUGAGAUUCAUGCCUGCUCCAUCAUUCAACACUCAGGUA